ensembl:lncRNA
CUUGUUACAACCGUAGCUCAGUAAGAAAGACAGUCGGUCAUUUGGUGAAUGUUCUCUUCCCUUCUCACGCUCAUGAAAGCAAUGGCUUUUCACUCGUGGUAUUGACACAAUAUAAAAGAGGAAAUAAAGUGAGCAAGACGCUCCGAUCCUGGCUCAAGUGUGCUGUAUCUGAGUUUGGCUUGCUGUUAAACUGCGACAACGUAGAGAGAUACCUAACAUGCCGGGAGAACAGUCAAAUGACUUCGUUGAGUCCACUGCCACCAGCCCCCCCCCCCACCUCUCCCUCAUGCUCCUCCACCCCAGGCACCUCUUCCACCACCCCAGACACCCCUUCCAAGAGGAGAGCGCCAGGGAGCAGGCGAGGCAUGAGGAGAGCGAGGCAAAGUUGGCGGAAUGGUUGAGAAGAUGUGAUUCUCCACCAUUCUCUCAAAAGCUGAGAGAGAGAGUGUGUGUGUGUGUGUGUGUAUUUUUAGAUGCGUGUGUGUGUAUUUUUAGAUGUGUGGUUCAGUGUUCCUUAUUUAAAUAAAGUGUUUCUUCUAAAGUUUUCUUGUUCAUAACCGAUUAUUAUCUAAGG